rnacentral:rRNA from 1 species
CCUACGGUGCGCAGCAGUGGGGAAUAUUGGACAAUGGGGGGAACCCUGAUCCAGCGACGCCGCGUGAGUGAAGAAGUAUUUCGGUAUGUAAAGCUCUAUCAGCAGGGAAGAAAGAAAUGACGGUACCUGACUAAGAAGCCCCGGCUAACUACGUGCCAGCAGCCGCGGUAAUACGUAGGGGGCAAGCGUUAUCCGGAUUUACUGGGUGUAAAGGGAGCGUAGACGGCGAUGCAAGUCUGAAGUGAAAGGCGGGGGCCCAACCCCCGGACUGCUUUGGAAACUGUAUGGCUGGAGUGCAGGAGAGGUAAGUGGAAUUCCUAGUGUAGCGGUGAAAUGCGUAGAUAUUAGGAGGAACACCAGUGGCGAAGGCGGCUUACUGGACUGUAACUGACGUUGAGGCUCGAAAGCGUGGGGAGCAAACAGGAUUAGAUACCCUAGUAGUC